UUGCUUCAGCAACAAAUAUACUAAAAUUGUAAUGAUCCAGAGAAGAUUAGCAUGGCUCCUGCGCAAGGUUCUAAGACUGCUUUUUUAAUUUGCCAGAAGGAUGU
ensembl:snRNA U6 U6 spliceosomal RNA